rnacentral:lncRNA from 1 species
UAGAAUUUGGUAUGUUUGUUUUGUAAGCUUAGUAGCCAUAAAAGAAAACAAAAUUGCCAUACAAAAGUAUAUAUUUAUAUAAAGAAGACAUCACAGGCUAUUUACCUAGGGUUGUUUUGAUACUUUCUACAUAGCCAUUUCACUGCCAAUCUCUGCUAAAUAUUGGAGUAAAAUUGUGUUUUGUUUUUUUUUUGGUUUUUGGCACACAAACUUAUAACAAAGAACUUCUCAUGUUUAUUUUGUUAAGUUGGUGUGUGCUAUUCCUGUACAAAGUUUUAUUUUGUGUUCAGUUACAUCUGCUGAGUAAAAUGAUACCCCCAUUGUAUGUCUUUG